ensembl:snoRNA U3 Small nucleolar RNA U3
AAGACUAGACUUCCAGGGACCAUUUCUACAGUUCGCUACUACAGUAGUUUUUCUGAAAAUGUAGAAUAACACUUUUUAAGU